rnacentral:rRNA from 1 species
GACGAACGCUGGCGGCGUGCUUAACACAUGCAAGUCGAACGAAAAUACCAAGCUUGCUUGGUUGAUUAGUGGCGAACGGGUGAGUAACACGUGAGUAACCUGCCCCUUACUUUCCUGGAUAACUGCUCGAAAGGGUAGCUAAUACGGGAUAUUCUGACCAGCCUGCAUGGGUUGGUUUGGAAAGGUUGUUUUUCUGGUAAGGGAUGGGCUCGCGGCCUAUCAGCUUGUUGGUGGGGUGAUGGCCUACCAAGGCUUUGACGGGUAGCCGGCCUGAGAGGGUGGGCGGUCACACUGGGACUGAGCUACGGCCCAGACUCCUACGGGAGGCAGCAGUGGGGAAUAUUGCACAAUGGGCGCAAGCCUGAUGCAGCGACGCCGCGUGAGGGAUGAAGGCCUUCGGGUUGUAAACCUCUUUCGUCAGGGAACAAGGCACUGCUUUUUUGGUGGUGUUGAGGGUACCUGGAUAAGAAGCGCCGGCUAACUACGUG